rnacentral:sRNA from 2 species
GGUUCGAUUCGAGCGAAAGCGAGAAAGCGUUGCCAACGGCAACGACCCGAAGGGCGAAGCGCGCAGCGCUGAGUAAUCCUUCCCCCACCACCA